UUGAACGCUGGCGGCAUGCCUUACACAUGCAAGUCGAACGGCAGCACGGGUGCUUGCACCUGGUGGCGAGUGGCGAACGGGUGAGUAAUACAUCGGAACAUGUCCUGUAGUGGGGGAUAGCCCGGCGAAAGCCGGAUUAAUACCGCAUACGAUCUACGGAUGAAAGCGGGGGACCUUCGGGCCUCGCGCUAUAGGGUUGGCCGAUGGCUGAUUAGCUAGUUGGUGGGGUAAAGGCCUACCAAGGCGACGAUCAGUAGCUGGUCUGAGAGGACGACCAGCCACACUGGGACUGAGACACGGCCCAGACUCCUACGGGAGGCAGCAGUGGGGAAUUUUGGACAAUGGGCGAAAGCCUGAUCCAGCAAUGCCGCGUGCGUGAAGAAGGCCUUCGGGUUGUAAAGCACUUUUGUCCGGAAAGAAAUCCUUGGCUCUAAUACAGUCGGGGGAUGACGGUACCGGAAGAAUAAGCACCGGCUAACUACGUG
rnacentral:rRNA from 1 species